UCUCAAGGAAGAAACAGAGGAGCUGGGAUCACUGAAUUCUUUUGAUGCCUAGAUGUAGUUUGUGACUAGAACUCUAGCACCAUUGGAAUUCAGUUUACCCUGGCUGGCGCAAUUCGUCGGUGUUUUA
rnacentral:precursor_RNA from 11 species